AUGAGGAGGAGCUUACAGAGAAUGUCUGCGCUGCUGGCCCUGUGUCUACUAAUGCAGGAAUUCCACCUCACCAUGCAGGUAGCAGGUGCGGCGAAGCAGCCGGUGAAGAGACAACACAGACACGCCAUCAAUGAACUCGAUCAGCCGUUGAGAUACACUCCCACGGGUUUAGCUCCACACGUGAAAAGAGAGCUGUCACGGCAUUAGCUCGCCUCGCGCCCUUCUUCAAGAGCGUCGCGCCCUUGGCCAAGAUUGCGGCGAUAGGAACCGUAUCUACACUUUCCAUCGUCAGAAUUGGUACAUUCGCUCUUACUUUCGCACGCAUGAUCAGCGACGUGUGUCUGCCACCUGUAGCUACCCGGAUAUCUGUCGAGCAAUCCAGCA